AUGGUACAACCAGAACUUGCUGAAAGCUGGGCGCUCCGUCAAGCUGUGAUUCUCGCCUGUGAUGAGGGACUGACCUUUGUCAUUUUCGCUUCUGAUUGGCUCUCCUUAGUACAACGAGUGAACUCUUCAUCCAUAGACAGGUCUGAAGUGGGUGUAGUAGUGUCAGAUAUUAAGCGUUUGGUUGCUUGUUUUUCUUCUGUUUCCUUCUGCCAUGUCAAGAGGUCGUUGAAUGCUGCUGCUCACAUACUAGCUAGGGCUUGUGAGUUUGCUAGUUCAAAAGUUGUGUACUAUUCUACUCCAGAAUGUAUCAGGCAAACUUUUUGUACUGAUGUAUACUAA
rnacentral:rRNA from 1 species